CCUGCUUGCUUUCAUCACAUUAGAGGCAGUCAGACUCCUGGCAGGAUAAGGAAAGGUUCUUUCUAAUUAGUUUUUUUUUCACGCUAAUGCUGCUUUCAAAUCUUGCUAAUGAUGAUUUUAGUUUCCUGUGACCUUGUGUGCUUCCUUACUGUGUGUUGCAGUUAGUUUUUUGCAUUUGAAGAUACAGGCAAAACAAGAGACCGGAAUCCAUUGAUUUUGAGACUUGCAUAACUCUGGGAGCAAAGCUGAGCAGUUUCGUGACUGACAUUCACAGCUGUAUCUGUGUGUCCCAGUAAUUCGGUGCACCAGCAGUGAAGCAAACAGUAGAUGAAAGAACCUGCUGAUGAGGCCUUUACAUCUUUACACUGAGCCCUGCCUGUCAGGUUUCUGUGGGACUGGGUUUAGCCUGGCCUUCUGAACUGAGUGCUGCCAUCAAAUGGGCUUGGAAGCUGCUCAGAGCUUCAGUCACUGACUGACUCUUCUGUGCCAUCAAAGCCUGGGUGUGCAGUCACUGAGUGCUCCAGAGGUCACUGCCUUCAUGCCCUGCAGGUUAAAACUACUUCUGGAUUCUGGCAAGAGAGCUUUUCCACAUUUUUACAUGCUGUUCCCAAGCCACUUAUUAGUGGGCCAUUGAUUUAUAGCCAGAAGGUAGCCUCCUCCCAAGUGAAAACCGUGAGAUAUUUGUUUGAAAACAUCAUGCUAAUUUAGUUUUUAUAGCUGGUGAUUAUGAGGAUAAACCAUCAUGUUUAAGAAGUGCAGUUGACUUGGAGGCUAACUGCCAUUAGCUUACAGAAAUCUUUAAUUUUCUACUGCUUCUGGGACCCAAGAGCUGGCUUGAAGAGUGCAGAUCCUCAUGAGCAGGUUUCCUUGCACAGCAAUAUUGCAGUGUGCUGUACCACCUAUAAAAGCAAGCCAUAGUUCAGCUGCUGGUGAUUCCAGGACUGGACACAUCAAUUCUUACAGCCAAUGUCUGCUGGAUCCUCCCCAGUAGCUUAAUUAAGGAGGCUAGUUCACCUUGGAUCCUUCUGACAACGUGCCAGAGAGAAAAGUGUCUCACCUCUCAGCAAAAGGAUGUGUGUGUUUUCGGGCAAUAAACCAACAGAAGGCAUAAAGAACACAGUUUUUCUCAUCUCAGAAGAAACUCAUCAUGAUUUACAUUCUUGUAACUGAGAAAAAAAAAAAAUAAAUGAGGCUCUGAAUAUCUUAGAAGACAUUAUCCAAUUGGAGAAAAGCCAUAAGAUGGAAAGAACUCCCUUCCUGCCACAGCCCCCCACCUCUCUGUAUUACCCUGAUCAUCCCAACACUUGGACUGCUACUCUUUCUGAUGUCUAACUCUGCACACUGUUGGAAAGAGCACUCCAAAACCAAGCUUUUGUCUAUAAAUGUCCAAUGUAAGUAUUUCAGCUGUUUUUAGGUGUCUCUUAACAGACAGUCUUGCUUUUAUCUCCUCUUUUUGACCCUACUUAAGCUACGUGAG